rnacentral:rRNA from 1 species
GAUGAACGCUAGCGGCAGGCUUAACACAUGCAAGUCGAGGGGUAUAGGUUUUCGGACCUAGAGACCGGCGCACGGGUGCGUAACGCGUAUGCAAUCUACCUUGUACAGGGGGAUAGCCCAGAGAAACUUGGAUUAAUACCCCAUAGUAUUAUAGAAUGGCAUCAUUUUAUAAUUAAAGUUCCAACGGUACAAGAUGAGCAUGCGUCCCAUUAGCUAGUUGGUAUGGUAACGGCAUACCAAGGCUACGAUGGGUAGGGGUCCUGAGAGGGAGACCCCCCACACGGGUACUGAGACACGGACCAGACUCCUACGGGAGGCAGCAGUGAGGAAUAUUGGUCAAUGGACGCGAGUCUGAACCAGCCAUGCCGCGUGCAGGAUGACGGUCCUAUGGAUUGUAAACUGCUUUUGUACAGGAAGAAACACUCCCACGUGUAGGAACUUGACGGUACUGUAAGAAUAAGGAUCGGCUAACUCCGUGCCAGCAGCCGCCGUAA